rnacentral:rRNA from 1 species
UACGUAGGGGGGCUAGCGUUGUCCGGAAUCAUUGGGCGUAAAGAGCGUGUAGGCGGCCCGGUAAGUCCGCUGUGAAAGUCGGGGGCUCAACCCUCGAAUGCCGGUGGAUACUGUCGGGCUAGAGUGCGGAAGGGGCGAGUGGAAUUCCUGGUGUAGCGGUGAAAUGCGCAGAUAUCAGGAGGAACACCAAUGGCGAAGGCAGCUCGCUGGGACGUGACUGACGCUGAGACGCGAAAGCGUGGGGAGCAAACAGG